GUGGGGUUGUGGCUCAGUGGUAGAGUGCUCACCUAGCAUGCACGAGGAACAGGGUUCGAUCCUCAGCACCACG
rnacentral:tRNA from 1 species